GACCGUGUAGCUCAGUUGGAAGAGCAUUGGGCUAGUAUUCCAAAGGUCGUAGGUUCGAAUCCCACCGUGGCCG